UACGGGGGGGGCAAGCGUUGUUCGGAAUCACUGGGCGUAAAGGGCGUGUAGGCGGUCCGCUAAGUCUGAUGUGAAAGCCCGAGGCUUACCCUCGGAAGUGCAUUGGAGACUGGCGGACUGGAGUCCCGGAGAGGAGGGUGGAAUUCCUGGUGUAGCGGUGAAAUGCGUAGAUAUCAGGAGGAACACCGGUGGCGAAGGCGGCCCUCUGGACGGUGACUGACGCUGAGACGCGAAAGCGUGGGGAGCAAACAGG
rnacentral:rRNA from 1 species